rnacentral:rRNA from 1 species
UGCAAGUCGAGCGGAGAGAGGUAGCUUGCUACUGAUCUUAGCGGCGGACGGGUGAGUAAUGCUUAGGAAUCUGCCUAUUAGUGGGGGACAACAUUUCGAAAGGAAUGCUAAUACCGCAUACGUCCUACGGGAGAAAGCAGGGGAUCUUCGGACCUUGCGCUAAUAGAUGAGCCUAAGUCGGAUUAGCUAGUUGGUGGGGUAAAGGCCUACCAAGGCGACGAUCUGUAGCGGGUCUGAGAGGAUGAUCCGCCACACUGGGACUGAGACACGGCCCAGACUCCUACGGGAGGCAGCAGUGGGGAAUAUUGGACAAUGGGCGCAAGCCUGAUCCAGCCAUGCCGCGUGUGUGAAGAAGGCCUUAUGGUUGUAAAGCACUUUAAGCGAGGAGGAGGCUACUUUAGUUAAUACCUAGAGAUAGUGGACGUUACUCGCAGAAUAAGCACCGGCUAACUCUGUGCCAGCAGCCGCGGUAAUACAGAGGGUGCAAGCGUUAAUCGGAUUUACUGGGCGUAAAGCGCGCGUAGGCGGCUAAUUAAGUCAAAUGUGAAAUCCCCGAGCUUAACUUGGGAAUUGCAUUCGAUACUGGUUAGCUAGAGUGUGGGAGAGGAUGGUAGAAUUCCAGGUGUAGCGGUGAAAUGCGUAGAGAUCUGGAGGAAUACCGAUGGCGAAAGCAGCCAUCUGGCCUAACACUGACGCUGAGGUGCGAAAGCAUGGGGAGCAAACAGGAUUAGAUACCCUGGUAGUCCAUGCCGUAAACGAUGUCUACUAGCCGUUGGGGCCUUUGAGGCUUUAGUGGCGCAGCUAACGCGAUAAGUAGACCGCCUGGGGAGUACGGUCGCAAGACUAAAACUCAAAUGAAUUUGACGGGGCCCGCACAAGCGGUGG